AUGGCCAUGUUACAUUGAAACACCAGUUCCCGUAUGAUCAACAAAGUUAAGCAACAUUGAGCCUAGUCAGUGCCAAAAUGUGUAGCCAUUUGGGAAUACCAAGUACUGUAA